GUUAGGGAUGGAUGGAGGAUGGAGGGAUGUAAUGGAUAUGAUGGAUGGAGGAUGUAGUGGGGAAUGGAGGAUGAAUGAUGGAUGGAGGAUGGAUGGAUGAAUGAAGGAUGGAUGGAUGAUGGAUGGAUGGAUGAUGGAUGGAUGGAUGGAUGAUGGAUGGAUGGAUGGAUGGAUGGAGGAUGGAUGGUGGAUGGAUGGAUGGAUGGUGGGUAGAUGGAUGAUGAAUGGAUGGUGGGUGGAUGGAUGGAUAAUGGA
rnacentral:lncRNA from 1 species